UAUACUAUAUACUAUAUUUAUCUAUUCAUGUAUGGACCAAGUUGUUAAAGACCAUUUAACUUUAAAGAGCGUCUAUAACAAGCUCUGUCUUACAAACAAAUUUUUUAAAAGCUGUGGGGAGCAAGGAGAGGUACAGCGCGCGAUGCGACAUAUGCCUUGGUGUGCCUCUGUUCAUCUACUCUUUAAUACUAUCUAUUAUGGAACAACAGCUUCAACAACUACGACAACAUGCAGUAACCGGCCGCAGCAACAAUAGUGAUCUGAAACUAUUAACAUGCAGGCAUAGGCUGUCCGAAGGUCGGGUGAAAGGGUGAAAAUUUCAUGAAAAUUUUAGCAGGGAUGGAGCCAGCCAAAUCUGAUAAGGAGUGCUCAUGGAGAUAUAUGAUCAUGGUUGAGGUUGCGACAUUGACAAAGUGGCUGAGGGAUCGAGCUAUGGAAGCAAGGCACUAGUCCGUGGUCUUGCAGUUUCACAUGCAGUCAUAUUUCUAUCUCAUGCUGUUCUAACUUUAUUUUUAUUUUUGUCUUUCCAUGCUUGCUAAAAUAUAAAAAUGGUUUUGAAGGAAGGGUAUUCGCCCCACUGCUUCUCCAGUAAAUCAAUCCCUAACAUGCUGAGAUUGCCGUUUUGUUCAUGUUAUAAUUUAAGCAAUGAGGAAUUUGAUGCAUUUAUUUCGAAAUCUCUCACACGUGCGAAUAAAAACUGCAGAUCAAAAUAUUGUUUGACCGCAACUGAACUUGAGUUACAACUUUCAAUCCCACAAGCACUCUUAUUCCAAAUUGAAUCUUUAUCGUAUGCGGAGGAACAUGGGACUAGAAAACUUUGCCAUUGUGCGCUUCACAAUCUUUGCCAUUGUGUGCUUUACUUUCUAAUUCUGAAAUUACUCAUUGUGAGGAUAAAACUGUUUCCAGCUUGCACGUUUCAAGCAUAGUUCGAAGAAACCUUUUAUCUCAGAUGCGGACGGGACGAGGGUUUUGAAGAUUUUUCCCUCCUUCAUUAAAUGAAAAUUGACCUUUGAGUAGAAAAUUGAAUUAACCUUUUUCAUACGAAGAAUGAGACUGGAUGUCUGGGCUGAGACGAGGAUUGUGAUCUCGCUAACGUAACUAUAUUGUGAUCAAAAGAGUUUGAAAAUUAUUGUUUUUUGCUAUUUUGCUUUAUAAUCUAAUCAACACAUUUUGGAAAUGGCAAAAUAACAAUUGUCAGAAUAACAAUUGGUAUUGUCUCGGUUAGGUGGGAGUUAUAUAUGACAAGACAGGACCUGUGAAACUAUGAAACUAAAAAAAGCUAGAUAAUUUUUGAAUUUUUUAUCUUUAAACAAAGCAUAUUAAGAAUAUGCUCAUUUCAGCCAAGCCUUGAAAACGGUGUCUGCACAUGUGUCGACAUUUUUCAUCUUAACAUGCAAUGCCAGAAUCCUGUCUACAUGCAGCUCGCUAUACGAGAUGUCAGUAGUUUGUUGUCAUUUGCGGAUACUCAGUAAUAUGAGCAAGAGAUUCAUCGAACUAUUCAAGAGCUUUUCAAACCGUGGUAUUUUGAUAACCUGAAAUUGAAAACGAAAUACAAUUUGCAGGAAAUUCUCGUGCUGCAUUUAAAACCAUGUUAUUUGUCAAUCAAAUAAUUAAGUAUAUAGUUUUUAAAUAAUGUGAUGCAAAGCUAGCCAAGGCAACUGGUUAUGCUAUAUGCCAUUAAACCUGCAUUUAAAUAGGUUGAAGACAAUACAUUUCUAAG
rnacentral:lncRNA from 1 species